rfam:Streptomyces violaceusniger Tu 4113, complete genome.
CUUGAUGGAGCCGAGCCACAACGGCCGCUCCGCGUCCCGCUGCUGCCCAUACGUGGCCAGCAGCGCCUGCGCCUC